UACGAAGGGGCUAGCGUUGCUCGGAAUCACUGGGCGUAAAGGGUGCGUAGGCGGGUCUUUAAGUCAGGGGUGAAAUCCUGGAGCUCAACUCCAGAACUGCCUUUGAUACUGAAGAUCUUGAGUUCGGGAGAGGUGAGUGGAACUGCGAGUGUAGAGGUGAAAUUCGUAGAUAUUCGCAAGAACACCAGUGGCGAAGGCGGCUCACUGGCCCGAUACUGACGCUGAGGUGCGAAAGCAUGGGAG
rnacentral:rRNA from 1 species